rnacentral:lncRNA from 1 species
UGAGCAAGCCAUCUGUCAUUUCCCUUUCCAGGCCCUAACCUUUGUCUUUAAAAUGUUUUGGGAAGGAGUGGGGAAGUCCUCCACUUUGGAGGUAUUUUGCUGGUAAACUUGCGAGCAGCUAGAAUCACUACUCACUAACUUAGCUAACUAACCCUUUGAUUUAGCUAGAACCCACUUGAGUACUGAUGCUGGGAAAUCUGGCAUGAGGAGCUAAUUCCAAGGCCUGGGAGACUGCUCUUGUGAAAAUACUAAGUCUGACCGAAUUCAUGGCUCAUAUCAAAGCUUCAAUAUCUUGGAGCAAAGGAUUAUAAUCCCUCAAGGAACCUACUCUGGACUCUGUUCUUGUUGCUGGUCAUCCUUUGUUUUCAAAGAGGACUGGUGACAUCAUGGGGUGUCUUGACUAGGACAUGAAUGGGAUUGAAGUGAGGCAGAAUUGCACAAAAUUGACAGCCUCACUCUUUCUUCCAGAAUCAUAGCAAUCCAGCAACGAGACAAAAAUCAAGAUGGCUGGUGAUGACCCAGGAUUCAGUGGAUGACCUUGGCAUCUUCAACAUCAAGCUCCUGGUGCUUCUUGGGGCCUUCUUUGGCUACCUUCAUGACUAUUGGAACAAGCUAUUCUCAUCUGCCCCUUCCACAGUGGGGAGGUCUUCACAUGCUUGGGAUAGACAUUCUCCAAACUCACCAAUGGGAUCAAGACCCAUCAGUUAUCCUCAACCUGGUUUUAGUCCCUCUGCUGAGGCAGUUUUCCUGAGAUGUGACCCACAGUCCACACUACAGCCUCUUGGAAUUCCAGGUAGACAUCAGAGGUGGAUGAACCCUGAACCAGAGGUUCUAGUCCUUCCUGAACACCCCAUAAAUCCAUACACUUUGGAAUCUACGACAUAGGAAAAGGUAUAGACUCAGACCCUAGAAACAUGCAAGUCGGAGGAUGAUGUAGUCAAUGACUGCUGUAGCAGGAGGGGCUCCCUACUCCUUUGAUACAAUAAGGUGAUGAAUGGGGAUACAAGCUGAACACGAGCCAAAUGACAUCAGGUACCCUGGGACACUUGGCUCCUGGAGGACUGCUGCUAAAGAUGAGGGGAGCAAAGCUGUCAUUGGAGGUGCCUGGGCCAAUGUUCCCAGAGCCAUGGCUGGAGCUGUCCAUUCCUAUCCUGUGAUGAAUUGAAGAAAGCAGUCUAAGUCCCUCCUAACUAUAGAUGGUUCACCAUGAAGGGCGCUCCACCAGGCUUGGCAUUUGAGACACCGACCCUGGGGAAUUCCAGUGGUCUUUCUAAUCCAACCAAAUCUGGUUGGGAGAAAAGCUGGGAAAAGCUCUCCGAAAAAAACGAG